rnacentral:siRNA from 1 species
UCUAACUGAACCUGCAAUCAUGAG